UGGUUCUGGCAUCGAUGAAGAACGCAGCGAAAUGCGAUAAGUAAUGUGAAUUGCAGAAUUCAGUGAAUCAUCGAAUCUUUGAACGCACAUUGCGCCCUUUGGCAUUCCGAAGGGCAUGCCCGUUCGAGCGUCAUUACAACCCUCAAGCCCGGCUUGGUUUUGGACGGCGGGACUCCUCCUGCGCCCCAAUGUCGCCGGCUGGACGACCCUGAUCGCAGCGUUGUGACACCAAAUCUCGCUGGCGAAACGGGCGGCCAUGCCGUCAAACACACAUAGAAACAGGUUGACCUCGGAUCGGGUAGGGAUACCCGCUGA
rnacentral:misc_RNA from 1 species